GUUGAAUCUCCAUCUUUGGCGCC
rnacentral:siRNA from 1 species